ensembl:lncRNA
GGGGAAUUUCUGAAGAGAAAAAGCAUGAUUUUCGGGUGAAACAAGGGAUUCUUGAAGAGAAAGCACGUGAUUUUCGGGUUAAAUGGUGGAUUUCCAAAGAGAAACACAUGAUUUUUGCUUAAAUGGGGGAUUCUCGAAGAGAAAACACAAUAUUUUCGAGUUAAAUGGGCGUUUUCCGAAGAGAAAACGCGUGAUUUUCACUUACAUGGGGGAUUCCUGAUGAGAAACCACGUGAUUUUUGGGUUAAAUGGGGGAUUUGCAAAGAGAAAACGCGUGAUUUUCGCUUAAAUGGGGGAUUCUCGAAGAGAAAACGCGUGACUUUUGGGUUAAAUGGGGGAUUUGCGAAGAGAAAACGCGUGAUUUUCGCUUAAAUGGGAUUUCGAAGAGAAAACGCGUGAUUUUCGGUUAAAUGGGGAUUCUCGAAGAGAAAACGCGUGAUUUUCGCUUAAAUGGGGGAUUCUCGAAGAGAAAACCCUUGAUUUUCGCUUAAAUGGGGGAUUCUCAAAGAGAAAACGC